GGAUGUGAGGGCGAUCUGGCUGCGACAUCUGUCACCCCAUGGAUCGCCAGGGUUGAUUCGGCUGAUCUGGCUGGCUGGGCAGGUGUCCCCUUCCUCCCUCACUGCUCCAUGUGCGUCCCUCCCGAAGCUGCGUGCUCGGUUGAAGAGGACGACCUUCCCCGAUAGAGGAGGACCAUUCUUCAGUCAAGGGUAUACAAGUAGCUGCGCUCCCCUGCUAGAACCUCCAGACAAACUCUCAAGGUCCAUUUGUAGGAGAACAUCAGGUAGUCAAGCUUCCAAGACUCCAGACACAUCCAAAUGAGGCGCUGCAUGUGGCAGUCUGCCUUU
rnacentral:snRNA from 1 species